ensembl:lncRNA
GAGGACUGAGCAGAAGUGAGAAUUUACUGUAAUCAGUCUGGAGCGUUUCUAUGGUGAGGACACUCGACCAUUAAGUUUGUUUCAGCAAAUACAGGAAGGACAGCAAUGGCAGUCCUGAGGGCCACCCUUUGCGCUGUCCUCAUGGUGACUCUAGUGACAGCUAAACCAGUCCAUCUGAAAGAAAGUGAGGAUUCACCCAAGUCAUCAGAGUCCAGUGAAUCCAGUUCAUCAGAAGAGACCACCACUAAUGAUAGGUCUUCACAGGAAACCCUGCAGUCAAAUACGCCGGAUGCUACAGAGAACCCCCUGGAUGCAGCACCGCUUCCCUCUGCAGAUGCAGGACCUUCUCUGGCCACUUCUCCUGAAGACCCACAAACCUCUGCUGACCCAGAUGCUUUACAACUUGUGCCAGAUCCGUCUCAUACUGCGAUGAGCGUUGAUGUUUCUUUAGAUGUGCCCAAUUCUGGUCCCACAAAGGACUCUGUUAACGCUGUUAACCCUACCCACAUUCUACCAAACACGCAUCCUUCAGGGCUUUCAGAGACUGGUGUAGUCAUAGGUACAAUUCAACCACAAGUCAUUACCACAUACCAAGGAUCCACCCAGGGUGUCACUCCACCCUUUCCUACAUGUGUCAUCCAACCAACACCUACAGCCCCACCACUGAUACUCCCUAUUGGAACAACACUAGAUGGUGGUCCUGUCUGUUUCACUUUCCAGGUCACAACUGCUGAGCCAGAUCCACCUAGAGGAGACAGCAUUUGAUCCCCAACAGAACACAGAAAUUGUUGUUCAUUUAAGUUUGAGUUCAGCCUAGGUGACCAGGACAGACCACACUAUGGCUGUACAUAUACACAACCUUGACUUGAUACUUAUAUAGAUGUCCUAACUACACAUGGCUUUUACUUUGCCCUCAACCUUGGCAAAUAGGGGGGAAAAAAUGGUGCUAAUGUAUAUGCUGUAUAUAUACAAUAAACACAUCUAAAGCUGUUGCAAUAACAAAAGUACAGUCACAAUAAAUAAAUUAAUAAACAGCUGAAAAUUAAACUGAUUAAAUGUUUGUCUCAAAUCCGGU